GACGAACGCUGGCGGCGUGCUUAACACAUGCAAGUCGAACGGCAAGGCCCUGCUUUUGUGCGGUGCUCGAGUGGCGAACGGGUGAGUAACACGUGAGUAACCUGCCCUUGACUUUGGGAUAACUUCAGGAAACUGGGGCUACUACCGUAUCGCAGCCCCUCCUGCAUUGUGGGGGUUGGAACGUUUCGGCGGUAGUGGUUGGACUGGCGGCUUAUCAGCUUGUUGGUGGGGGAGUGGCUUACCAAGGCUGUGACGGGUCGCCGGCAUGAGAGGGGGACCGGCCACAUGGGGACUGAGAUACGGCGCAGAGGGCUACGGGAGGCAGCAGGGGGGAGUAUGGCACAAUGGGCGGAAGCGUGAUGCAGAAACGCCGCGUGCGGGAUGACGGCCUUCGGGGUGUAAACAGCUUUCGCCUGUGACGAAGCGUGAGUGACGGUAAUGGGUGAAGAAGCACCGGCUAACUACGUG
rnacentral:rRNA from 1 species